rnacentral:rRNA from 1 species
AGCAGCCGCGGUAAUUCCAGCUCUAAUAGCGUAUAUUAAAGUUGUUGCAGUUAAAAAGCUCGUAGUUGGAUUUCGGCGUGCGCUCAGGCUGGUCGGCCGUCAUGGUCUGUACCGUUUGGGUCACGCCCCACUGUAGGAUACUCACCGCUGUCCUUAACUGGGUGGCGGUCAAAGGUUGUAGUACUUUCUGGGGGCAACUCUGGAUAUUAUGACUGGGGUUCCUACUCUUUUACUUUGAGCAAAU